UGAAGGUAUGUGUAGAGGGGAACCACAGAAUAACAAACCACGAUGUCUCUUGUAGCAGAACUGGAAAAUAAGAUGGAAGAAAAGUCUUCCAGCGUGGUUGUUCAGAUUGCAGAAAGUUCUCAUUUAUUCACUAAUGUCCCUGAUGGAUGUCGCCAGCUGACUGAGCAAGCUAUAGACCAGAUGCUGAUCCACUGGGCUGAAUAAAGAUAUUCAGGAUCAUCUUUGGCAAGCUGGAUAGCCUAAUUGCAUGUUUCAAGGGACAAGAAGAUUCCCCUGGAAAAGUCCAGCUUCCCUUCAGGACAAGACCUCACAUUACACUCUGCUCAGUUAUGGGCUGAUGUCAUAAUGCCCCACCAUCACUCAUGAGCUCUCAAGGUUCUUCUCUUCUUCUUCGGUCUCCAGUUCUGCAUGUUGGUUGAGUUUGCUGGACACAGACCAACUCAGGGGCAGCUCCGCCCUGCUGGCUAGCUCAGCCAGCUCUUUGGCACUGAGAGAUGGGGUGCUGGUCUCA